rnacentral:tRNA from 1 species
CGCCCGUAGCUCAGCUGGAUAGAGCACCAGACUACGAAUCUGGGGGUCAGGAGUUCGAAUCUCUUCGGGCGCGCCA